rnacentral:lncRNA from 1 species
UCAAUAUUAAUAUUAUUUCAAAAUUCACGGGUAUUACAUAUGCUCCGGUGGUUUGCUUGAUAACAAAUUCAGAAUCCCCAAAGACUUCUAGACGUUUGACACCCAUUGAUCAGCCUAACUUUUAUCCCAUGAUACAACCCCCAUACUCUGUCGUGUUGUUAGUGUUGUUGAACUAUAGCUUGGUAGCCGUGGGAUAUUGCUCCCAAUGAUGGAUACGAGGACUACCCUUGCUCAUGUGCCAUCAAAGUACAAUUUCAAGAAUUUUCCCAUAUCCUUUCAAUGGACUUGAUGAACUGUCAUCACAUCGUUGUUGGGAAAAUAUGUUUCCAAAGGCUCCAAGUUCCCUGACGGUGCUUCAGCGAGCUGAUCCGCAAUUUCCUGACCUUUAAUGGAUUUUUGUGUUACAUGUAUUUCAAAGGAUCCAUGGGGGAUAUGAGGUAUGUUUUAUGUCCAUGGAGGUAAUGUUGUAACCUCAUGGCAACCUAUGCUAAGGCACAACAGUUUUUUUAAUCAAAGUGUAUUUCUGCUCAUAGCUGCUGAAUCUUUUGUUGAGAUAAUAGAGGGCUCUUUCCUUGUCUCUAUCAUCUUUUUUCCCCAGAAUGCAACCCAUGGCGUUGGAAUUGAUAGAUAUGUAUAUGAAAAGUGG